rnacentral:rRNA from 1 species
ACGAUGAAGCCCAGCUUGCUGGGUGGAUUAGUGGCGAACGGGUGAGUAACACGUGAGUAACCUGCCCUUGACUCUGGGAUAAGCCUGGGAAACUGGGUCUAAUACCGGAUAGGAACGUCCACCGCAUGGUGGUUGUUGGAAAGAUUUAUCGGUCAUGGAUGGACUCGCGGCCUAUCAGCUUGUUGGUGAGGUAAUGGCUCACCAAGGCGACGACGGGUAGCCGGCCUGAGAGGGUGACCGGCCACACUGGGACUGAGACACGGCCCAGACUCCUACGGGAGGCAGCAGUGGGGAAUAUUGCACAAUGGGCGAAAGCCUGAUGCAGCGACGCCGCGUGAGGGAUGACGGCCUUCGGGUUGUAAACCUCUUUCAGUAGGGAAGAAGCGAAAGUGACGGUACCUGCAGAAGAAGCACCGGCUAACUACGUGCCAGCAGCCGCGGUAAUACGUAGGGUGCGAGCGUUAUCCGGAAUUAUUGGGCGUAAAGAGCUCGUAGGCGGUUUGUCGCGUCUGUCGUGAAAGUCCGGGGCUUAACCCCGGAUCUGCGGUGGGUACGGGCAGACUAGAGUGCAGUAGGGGAGACUGGAAUUCCUGGUGUAGCGGUGGAAUGCGCAGAUAUCAGGAGGAACACCGAUGGCGAAGGCAGGUCUCUGGGCUGUAACUGACGCUGAGGAGCGAAAGCAUGGGGAGCGAACAGGAUUAGAUACCCUGGUAGUCCAUGCCGUAAACGUUGGGCACUAGGUGUGGGGACCAUUCCACGGUUUCCGCGCCGCAGCUAACGCAUUAAGUGCCCCGCCUG